UGGUAUUUUGGCCAUUUGGCACAAACCCGUAGAUCCGAUCUUGUGGAAAAUCUGACGGCACAAGCUCGCCUCUGUGGGUCUCUGUCAGUGUGGUGUGAACACCG